rnacentral:rRNA from 1 species
UACGAAGGGGGCUAGCGUUGUUCGGAAUUACUGGGCGUAAAGCGCACGUAGGCGGAUUGCUAAGUCAGGGGUGAAAUCCUGGAGCUCAACUCCAGAACUGCCUUUGAUACUGGCGAUCUCGAGUCCGGGAGAGGUGAGUGGAACUGCGAGUGUAGAGGUGAAAUUCGUAGAUAUUCGCAAGAACACCAGUGGCGAAGGCGGCUCACUGGCCCGGUACUGACGCUGAGGUGCGAAAGCGUGGGGAGCAAACAGG